rnacentral:tRNA from 1 species
GCGGCCGUGGCGGAAUUGGCAGACGCGCCAGGUUUAGGUCCUGGUGAGCUUACGCUCGUGGGGGUUCAAGUCCCUCCGGCCGCA